GUCUCCGGCCAUACCCCCCUGAACGCGCCCGAUCUCGUCUGAUCUCAGAAGCUAAGCAGGGUCGGGCCUGGUUAGUACUUGGAUGGGAGAAGUUAAAGAGUUAACAGUUCUUUAUAAACCAGAAGGCCAUUAACU
ensembl:rRNA 5S_rRNA 5S ribosomal RNA